rnacentral:rRNA from 1 species
UACGGAGGGUGCAAGCGUUGUCCGGAUUUAUUGGGUUUAAAGGGCGCGUAGGUGGCCUGCUAAGCGUGCGGUGAAAGUCGGGGGCUCAACCCCCGAUCGGCCGUGCGAACUGGGAGGCUUGAGCACUGUAGAGGCAGGCGGAAUUCCGGGUGUAGCGGUGGAAUGCGUAGAGAUCCGGAAGAACACCGGUGGCGAAGGCGGCCUGCUGGGCAGUUUUGCUGACACUGAGGCGCGACAGCGUGGGGAGCAAACAGG